UGGCCGCUCGUGGCCGCACCUGGCAGCGUGUGGCUGCUCCUGGACGGGGCUGCUCCGGUGGUUUAAAUUCCGAUACAGUACUUAUCCGCUGUUUGUAUGCUUAUCCAGUUACAAUGAUGAUUGAUUUUGUAACCUUGAUUCAAUCAACUCAUUUUAGGUCAACAUUUUAUGUUAUUUCUUUGAACGGUAAGAAUUUGGACUUGCUAAGUCUCAGUAAUUUAUUCAUGCAUUGAAUUUGUGCUUUCCAUCAAAUUACGCCUCUGAUUUCUCAUCUUAUCUCCUAAGUAGAAUGAUAGUUGGCUUGAUUUUGUGGGUUCGGCUUAUCAACAAGAGUCGUCUACUGAAAUUGAUCAUCAUUCAUGGCCAAAAAAGUAACAUUUAUAGCUAUUAAAAGAACAAAGUUUAGAGAGACUAAAAUGCUAGUGAAAAAAGUACAAAUGAUUUAUUAUGUUAAGGUAUUGACUAAAUUUGUAAUUUUGUUUGUGCAGGUCUCGCUCGGUGUAGUUGGAGACACUCGUAUCAUAAAGCAUUUUUGUAGAUCUUCCCCGUGGUCAUUAGAGGUGACAUCUAAUAUUUUUUCCCCUCUUGUUCUACAAGCUAUUUGAAGAAAAAUGUUCCGCUCUAAGUCAGAUUCCUCCGCGUGACGAUGAUGAUGAUGGCGAUGAUGAUAACGAUGAUGCUGGAUUGGUGAGGCGAAAUAUGUAUCGGAGAAAAAAGUAAGUAUUAAAUAACACACUCGUAGUUGAACAUGUUAGACUUUUAAUUAUAUUUAUAUAUUUUUAAAUUAGUUAUAUUUGAAAAGUUAAAUAAAGGUAUCUUUUUAUAUAUUUGUUGAAAUUUGAUAUUACUGCAUUAUUACUUCAAAUUCCAAAUUAUGAUUAGAGUUUGCCUAAUAACCAAGUAACUAUGAGUACUUAAAGACUAGUAUCAACUAAUUGCUCAUAUAUUAGUUUGUGUUUUUUUCAUUUCAGACAUUUUCAUAUUAUAGGGAUUUUAAGAAUACAUCUCAUUCUCUCUAUGUUUGAUGAAAUAUAAUAUUUGUAAAACUUGUUUGAUAAGGUGAAAUAUGGUAUAUCAUAACAAUUUGAUACAAAUGAAACUGUUAGAAUUGUGAGAUUGUUAGAAUUUAAGUUAUUAUCUUUCUGGUUACACAUGAUCUGGUUUAUUCGUUUGUUUGUAUGCAGGAAGAGAAGAGUUGAUGGGGAUGAAAGCUUUUGUGGAGAAAGAAGAUGAGUUGAUGUAUCUUAGUUUUUUUUUAAAUUUAACUCCUUGUUUAACUUCUUGGAUUAUUAGACUUUAUAAAUAUUUGAGUGUUGAACUUGUAUAA